GGCGUGCGCGGGGCCCGGCGCCAUGGGCCCGGUGCUGAAGCUCAGCAGCGAGCUAUUUUCUGUAUAUUUCUGGCAGUUGCUGGGAUGCUUGGGAGACAGUUUGCCUCUUAGCGUGAUGGAGUUUGAGCAUGAGUGAAGAGAUGAAUUCCGAAAGCUAUUGGAUUGAAAGAAACCAGCAAGAUCUGAGCACAAGGAGCAAGAUGCGCUAUUUGAAGAAGCUAUCAGGUUGGUG